rnacentral:rRNA from 1 species
CUAAAUACUCUCUAGUGACCGAUAGUGAACCAGUACCGUGAGGGAAAGGUGAAAAGCACCCCGGAAGGGGAGUGAAAUAGAACCUGAAACCGUGUGCUUACAAGUAGUCAGAGCCCGUUAAUGGGUGAUGGCGUGCCUUUUGUAGAAUGAACCGGCGAGUUACGAUUUGAUGCAAGGUUAAGCAGUAAAUGUGGAGCCGUAGCGAAAGCGAGUCUGAAUAGGGCGUUUAGUAUUUGGUCGUAGACCCGAAACCAGGUGAUCUACCCUUGGUCAGGUUGAAGUUCAGGUAACACUGAAUGGAGGACCGAACCGACUUACGUUGAAAAGUGAGCGGAUGAACUGAGGGUAGCGGAGAAAUUCCAAUCGAACCUGGAGAUAGCUGGUUCUCUCCGAAAUAGCUUUAGGGCUAGCCUCAAGUGAUGAUUAUUGGAGGUAGAGCACUGUUUGGACGAGGGGCCCCUCUCGGGUUACCGAAUUCAGACAAACUCCGAAUGCCAAUUAAUUUAACUUGGGAGUCAGAACAUGGGUGAUAAGGUCCGUGUUCGAAAGGGAAACAGCCCAGACCACCAGCUAAGGUCCCAAAAUAUAUGUUAAGUGGAAAAGGAUGUGGCGUUGCCCAGACAACUAGGAUGUUGGCUUAGAAGCAGCCAUCAUUUAAAGAGUGCGUAAUAGCUCACUAGUCGAGUGACACUGCGCCGAAAAUGUACCGGGGCUAAACAUAUUACCGAAGCUGUGGAUUGUCCUUUGGACAAUGGUAGGAGAGCGUUCUAAGGGCGUUGAAGCAUGAUCGUAAGGACAUGUGGAGCGCUUAGAAGUGAGAAUGCCGGUGUGAGUAGCGAAAGACGGGUGAGAAUCCCGUCCACCGAUUGACUAAGGUUUCCAGAGGAAGGCUCGUCCGCUCUGGGUUAGUCGGGUCCUAAGCUGAGGCCGACAGGCGUAGGCGAUGGAUAACAGGUUGAUAUUCCUGUACCACCUAUAAUCGUUUUA